rnacentral:tRNA from 1 species
GCCCGGGUGGCGAAACAGGUAGACGCAGGGGACUUAAAAUCCCCCGGCCUCGCGGCCGUGCGGGUUCGAUUCCCGCCCCGGGCACCA